UACAACAUAGCAUUAAUUCACCGGAUCCCAUUAGAAAUAUGUAGUUAAGCGCGCUCAGGCUAGAGUAGUAUUGGGAUGGGUGAUCGCCCGGGAAGUCCUAGUGUUUUAA
rfam:Picea glauca, whole genome shotgun sequence.